GGUGAACGCUAGCGGCAGGCUUAACACAUGCAAGUCGAGGGGUAUAGUUCUUCGGAACUAGAGACCGGCGCACGGGUGCGUAACGCGUACGCAAUCUACCUUUUACAGGGGAAUAGCCCAGAGUAAUUUGGAUUAAUGCCCCAUAGUAUAGUUUAUUCGCAUGAGUAGAUUAUUAAAGUUCCAACGGUAAAAGAUUGGCAUGCGUCCCAUUAGCUAGAUGGUAAGGUAACGGCUUACCAUGGCGACGAUGGGUAGGGGUCCUGAGAGGGAGAUCCCCCACACUGGUACUGAGACACGGACCAGACUCCUACGGGAGGCAGCAGUGAGGAAUAUUGGUCAAUGGACGCAAGUCUGAACCAGCCAUGCCGCGUGCAGGAUGACGGUCCUAUGGAUUGUAAACUGCUUUUGUACGAGAAGAAACACUGCUACGUGUAGCAGCUUGACGGUAUCGUAAGAAUAAGGAUCGGCUAACUCCGUGCCAGCCGCCGCUGUAA
rnacentral:rRNA from 1 species